AAUGAACGCUGGCGGCAUGCCUUACACAUGCAAAUCGAACGGCAGCAUGACCUAGCUUGCUAGGUUGAUGGCGAGUGGCGAACGGGUGAGUAAUGCAUCGGAACGUGCCUUUUAGUGGGGGAUAACGUAGCGAAAGUUACGCUAAUACCGCAUAUUCUCUGAGGAGGAAAGCAGGGGACCUUCGGGCCUUGCGCUAGAAGAGCGGCCGAUGUCGGAUUAGCUAGUUGGUGAGGUAAAGGCUCACCAAGGCAACGAUCCGUAGCGGGUCUGAGAGGAUGAUCCGCCACACUGGGACUGAGACACGGCCCAGACUCCUACGGGAGGCAGCAGUGGGGAAUUUUGGACAAUGGGCGCAAGCCUGAUCCAGCCAUGCCGCGUGAGUGAAGAAGGCCUUCGGGUUGUAAAGCUCUUUCGGCUGGGAAGAAAUCGCACCCUCUAAUACAGGGUGUGGAUGACGGUACCAGCAUAAGAAGCACCGGCUAACUACGUG
rnacentral:rRNA from 1 species